rfam:Oryza barthii chromosome 5, whole genome shotgun sequence.
AAUAAGUGCAGUUGUGGUUUCAGUGCCCAAAGUUUGACCAUCCAUUUUAUUUGAAAUAUUUUUAUGAAUAGUAUUCUAGUUGCUAUUAGAUGAUAAAAUAUGAAUAUUAGUUUAUGCAUGACUUAAUUUUUUAAAAAAAUCAUAAUUUUUUUAAAUAAGACGAACGGUAAAACGUUUGAUACGGAAACUUAUGGUUGCACUUGUA